GACGAACGCUGGCGGCGUGCCUAAUACAUGCAAGUCGAGCGAAAAGACGAGGAGCUUGCUCCUCUGUCGUUAGCGGCGGACGGGAGAGUCACAUGUGUAUAACCCCCCUAUAAGACGGGGAUAACCUCGGGACACCGGAUCUUAUACCGUAUAAUAUACUGAACCGCAUUGUUCAAUAGUGAAAUACGGUUUUGCUGUCACUUAUCGAUGCAUCCGCGCCGCAUUAGCUAGUUGGUAGGUUCACGGCUUACCAAGGCAACGAUGCGUAGCCGACCUGAGAGGGUGGUCGGCGGCACGGGAACGGAGACAGGGACCAGGCGCCUGCGGGAGGCAGCAGUAGGGAAUCUUACGCAGUAGGCGAGAGCCUGACGGAGCGGCGCCGCGUGAGAGAUAGAGGUCUUCGGAUCGUAAUGCUCUGUUAUUAGGGGAGAACAGAUGUGUAAGUAACUGUGCACGUCUUGACGGUACCUGGUCAAAAAGCCACGGCUAACUACGUG
rnacentral:rRNA from 1 species